UACGUAGGUGGCAAGCGUUGUUCGGAAUUACUGGGCGUAAAGGGCGCGUAGGCGGCCUUGUAAGUCUCGUGUGAAAGCCCUCGGCUUAACUGAGGAUCUGCACGGGAUACUGCGAGGCUUGAGUUCGGGAGAGGAAAGCGGAAUUCCGGGUGUAGCGGUGAAAUGCGUAGAUAUCCGGAGGAACACCAGUGGCGAAGGCGGCUUUCUGGACCGACACUGACGCUGAUGCGCGAAAGCUAGGGGAGCAAACGGG
rnacentral:rRNA from 1 species